rnacentral:rRNA from 1 species
UACGUAGGUGGCAAGCGUUGUCCGGAUUUACUGGGCGUAAAGGAUGCGUAGGCGGACAUUAAGUCCGAUGUGAAAUACCCGAGCUUAACUUGGGUGCUGCAUUUGAAACUGGGUGUCUAGAGUGCAGGAGAGGUAAGUGGAAUUCCUAGUGUAGCGGUGAAAUGCGUAGAGAUUAGGAAGAACACCAGUGGCGAAGGCGACUUACUGGACUGUAACUGACGCUGAGGCAUGAAAGCGUGGGGAGCAAACAGG